rnacentral:rRNA from 1 species
CAGCAGCCGCGGGAAUACGAAGGGUGCAAGCGUUACUCGGAAUUACUGGGCGUAAAGCGUGCGUAGGUGGUGGUUUAAGUCCGUUGUGAAAGCCCUGGGCUCAACCUGGGAAUUGCAGUGGAUACUGGGUCACUAGAGUGUGGUAGAGGAUAGUGGAAUUUCCGGUGUAGCAGUGAAAUGCGUAGAGAUCGGAAGGAACAUCUGUGGCGAAGGCGACUAUCUGGGCCAACACUGACACUGAGGCACGAAAGCGUGGGGAGCAAACAGGAUUAGAUACCCCCGUAGUCCCUGUCUCUUUACA